GAGUACGGCCGCAAGGCUGAAACUUAAAGGAACUGGCGGGGGAGCACUACAACGGGUGGAGCCUGCGGUUUAAUUGGACUCAACGCCGGAAAACUCACCGGGGGCGACAGCAUUAUGUAGGUCAGGUUAAAGGUCUUACCUGAAUCGCUGAGAGGAGGUGCAUGGCCGUCGUCAGUUCGUACUGUGAAGCAUCCUGUUAAGUCAGGCAACGAGCAAGACCCGUGCCCACUGUUACCAGCAUAUCCUUUAUGGAUGAUGGGGACUCUGUGGGGACCGCUGCUGCUAAAGCAGAGGAAGGUGCGGGCUACGGUAGGUCAGUAUGCCCCGAAUCUCCCGGGCUACACGCGGGCUACAAUGGUUGGGACAAUGGGCAUCUACUCCGAAAGGAGUUGACAAUCUCUUAAACCCAAUCGUAGUUCGAAUUGAGGGCUGUAACUCGCCCUCAUGAAGCUGGAAUCUGUAGUAAUCGCGUUUCAACAUAGCGCGGUGAAUCUGUCCCUGCUCCUUGCACACACCGCCCGUCAAACCAUCCGAGUGAGGUAUGGGUGAGGGCACGAACUUAGUGUCGUGCUCGAACCUAAAUUUCGCAAGGAGGGUUAAGUCGUAACAAGGUAGCCGUAGGGGAAUCUGCGGCUGGAUCACCUCCU
rnacentral:rRNA from 1 species